GACGCGAGCAGCAGCGCCAUCCAAUCAUAGUGAAGAUCCCGCCCCCCGACCCACCCAUUGCCCACUCUCACCCUCACCCAGUCAGCCAAUCAUCGGGAACAUCCUGCCCGGAUCGACUGGAAACGGGCCGCCAAUCGUUGAGGUGUCUUCAUCCAAUUACACGGAUUAUCCGGCCAAUCACAAUUAACGCUGUUUUUUUGGUGAGUCGUUUUCUCGGACGUCACCGAAGUGGCCGGGUAGCGGUGAGCUUUAAGAAGUUUUUUUUCUUGCUCGUUUGCACUGGUGACAUGGCCUCGCCCGCUUUCCUGGACACGAGCUUGCCGGGUCAUGGGUCCGACCAGCAGUUCACCGAGGUCAUCAGCCAGCAGAUGCGGGUCCCAGAGCACCUCCGAGUCGGGCUGGGCCCUCAGGGGGAUGAGCAAACAAAGCCUGAGGACAUGACCCUCAUCUACCGGAUGCACAUCCCCAACAGGUUGUCCCUGGCAGAUGCCCCAGAUUUGAAUCCGCGACCCCUGUUCUCCACUCCAUCCGGACGCAGCUUCCCGACCCAUGCAGCCACAGCAUGGGACUCUCCCUCUUCAGAGCCCCUGAGUCCUCUGCGCAGGUCCUACAGUGAUCAAACCUUUGGCAGGAGCCCCCCUGUCACCCCCACACUGUCAAAACAGAUGCUGCAUGCCCCUUCUCUCCGUGCUGUGGGACGCUCCCCACAGAACGUUGAACCCCGUGGACCCUCCGCUAUUCCACCCAACCUCCUGUCCCCACAGAAUGUGCUCCAGGCUGUCAGAGACCUGGGUCAGUUGGCCUCCCAGCGCAUCCUCCGGACUGUCACCCAGAAGUGCGGUUCCAGGUUCAGCUAUCCUGAGAACCCGCCUUCCACCCUAGUCGAGAUGCCUGGUUCCAUGGACCCCAGCCGGAGAAGCACAGCACAGGAUUGGCUGACCGUGGAGGAGGAAGGCGGGGGAAACGUUGAGUUCUUUGUGUUGCGGAGACAGAUGAUGAAGAUGAGCCGGCGUCUUGCCACCCUGGAGAGGCAGAAUGCAGAGCACCGCCAAACGGAGCUGCUCCUCUUCUCCUUGCUGUUGUCCGCCUGUCUCAUCAAUGGCUGGCUCUGGCUGCGCAGGUUGGAUCCUUAA
rnacentral:lncRNA from 1 species